AAUGAACGCUGGCGGCAUGCCUUACACAUGCAAGUCGAACGGCAGCGGACCUUCGGGUGCCGGCGAGUGGCGAACGGGUGAGUAAAGUAUCGGAACGUACCUUUCAGUGGGGGAUAACGUAGCGAAAGUUACGCUAAUACCGCAUAUUCUGUGAGCAGGAAAGCAGGGGAUAGCAAGACCUUGCGCUGAUUGAGCGGCCGAUAUCAGAUUAGCUAGUUGGUGGGGUAAAGGCCUACCAAGGCGACGAUCUGUAGCGGGUCUGAGAGGAUGAUCCGCCACACUGGGACUGAGACACGGCCCAGACUCCUACGGGAGGCAGCAGUGGGGAAUUUUGGACAAUGGGCGCAAGCCUGAUCCAGCCAUGCCGCAUGAGUGAAGAAGGCCUUCGGGUUGUAAAGCUCUUUCGGCCGGGAAGAAAUCGCAUGGGCUAAUACCCUGUGUGGAUGACGGUACCGGAAUAAGAAGCACCGGCUAACUACGUGCCAGCCGCCGCAGUAAGAC
rnacentral:rRNA from 1 species